GAUGAACGCUAGCGGCAGGCCUAACACAUGCAAGUCGAGGGGGAAGUUACUUUCGGGUGACUGAGACCGGCGUACGGGUGCGUAACGCGUAUACAAUCUGCCUUUCACUGGGGGAUAGCCCGAAGAAAUUUGGAUUAAUACCCCAUAGUAUAUAGGGACGGCAUCGUUUUUAUAUUAAAGCUUAGGUGGUGAAAGAUGAGUAUGCGUUCUAUUAGCUAGUUGGAGAGGUAACGGCUCCCCAAGGCGAUGAUAGAUAGGGGUUCUGAGAGGGAUGUCCCCCACACUGGUACUGAGAUACGGACCAGACUCCUACGGGAGGCAGCAGUGAGGAAUAUUGGACAAUGGUCGGAAGACUGAUCCAGCCAUGCCGCGUGCAGGAGGAAGGUCUUAUGGAUUGUAAACUGCUUUUGUAAGGGAAGAAUAAGGGCUACGCGUAGUUUGAUGACGGUACCUUACGAAUAAGCAUCGGCUAACUCCGUG
rnacentral:rRNA from 1 species